GGUAUCGGCAUAUUGUAUUGUGCCAUGAGUAGCGACGAACAAACUCUUGUUUUUAGUUUUGUUUUAUAACUUAUUUUUUUUUUUCUUUCCUGACAGAGGUUAGUGAAAUAUUGAUAAGAAUCAAAUCUAUUAUCAAAUCAUUUAUUAUCAACUACAUUGGGCUGUGGAAAGGUAUUCGAGUGUCUGCAGGAAAGUGGGGCUACCCAGUUAAAGUGUCUGAUUGUGAUUCGAUUGCUUUAGGGGAUUCAUUAUGUAAAGUGGAAUUGUGAUAAAUUAAAUCGAGACUAAAAAAGUAAUAGCAAAAGCCUUAUAAUGCAAAGUCAAACACAAAGUACUUCGGCAGGCGAACCACCGUCGCCUCCACCGGCACCUCCAGCAGGUUCUGCAACAAGAAAUCAGUUACGUCCCGUCAAAUAUGAUUAUGCAGAUUCAUUUGCUUGUACUUAUGUAGUAUCCGUUGUUGCUGCUUCCGUAGCAGAACUAACCACGUAUCCACUGGAUCUCACCAAAACUCGUUUACAAAUACAAGGCGAAGCAGCUGCUAACAGCUUAAAAACCGACCUAGGCGUUAAACCAAAGUAUCGUGGCAUGUUGGCGACAGCGUUCGGCAUUGUCAGGGAAGAGGGCACAAUGAAGUUGUGGCAAGGUGUCACGCCAGCGCUUUAUCGCCAUGUCGUUUACAGUGGUGUGCGUAUAUGCAGCUAUGAUUUUCUGCGCCGUAAAUUGGGUAACGAUGAAAACGGCAUAAUUACAUUGCCACUGUGGAAAUCGGCGCUUUGUGGUGUAUCGGCAGGUGCGGUUGCACAAUGGUUGGCUUCACCAGCCGACUUAGUUAAGGUGCAAAUUCAAAUGGAGGGCAAACGUCGUUUAAUGGGCGAACCGGCACGUGUCCAUGGCGCAGCACAUGCUUUCAAAGAAAUUGUUCGCCGCGGUGGUGUAGCGGGUCUGUGGAAAGGCAGCGUUCCGAAUGUACAGCGUGCGGCACUUGUCAAUCUUGGAGAUCUCACAACAUACGACACCAUCAAGCAUAUGAUUAUGAUCAAAUUGAAUAUGCCCGAUUGUCAUACUGUGCAUGUACUUUCCUCCAUAUGUGCUGGAUUUGUAGCUGCCAUUAUGGGCACGCCGGCAGAUGUGGUGAAGACACGUAUAAUGAAUCAGCCGACAGAUGAUAAGGGCAGGGGUCUACUCUAUAAAGGCUCCAUCGAUUGUCUGCGCCAGACAGUGAAUAAGGAAGGUUUCGCUGCACUUUAUAAAGGCUUCUUACCUUGCUGGAUACGUAUGGCACCAUGGUCAUUAACUUUCUGGCUGUCUUUUGAACAAAUUCGUAGCAUGAUCGGCGUCGCCGCUGUUGUUGCAAGCAUACAUGAGUUUCUAAAGUGAUCGGAAUAUUAGAACGUUCUUACAAAGUUCAAAACGUUUUCAAAACAUACAAUACAAAAAACAGAAAAACGUGAAAAAAUCAUUGCAAAUGGUGGUCAAGAGUAGCGUCAGAUAAACCCGGUCAGGCAGCGGAAGUGGUUAAUUUAACACAUAUUUUUACGGUUUAUGCGGAUCUAUUAAUGUGCGCGUAUCGGUAAAAAUGCGUUUCAAUAUACAUAUGUAUGUAUUAAUGUCGUAAGAAAUUUCAAUAUUUAUUAUUUACUAAACAUACAUACAUACACACUUAAAUAUAGAAAGAUUGUAAUAAAUUAUUUAAAGCCUUAUAUGCUGCACUGCAGAAUAUCUUUAAGUAAUUAAGGUGACAAUAUAAUAUUGUACAAUGUAAAUAAAGAAUAAAUAAGUUUUUUACAUACAUAUUAAUA
rnacentral:misc_RNA from 1 species